ACAGCUACACAGUAAGACCCUGUCUCAAAAGGACAAGAGGGAAAGGCAAACUCAUGACUCAUGAAAACUGGAUGGGGUGGGGGUAGGGGGAAAGGGGUGUCCUGUCAGGUGUGGUUGUUCUGGGCACACUAUGUUCUCUGUUCUUCCAGACAGAGGCAACCAACCACUGAUUAGGGGACGAGGUGGGAGAUAAAAUCAAAUCAGAAGCACAGGAAAGACCAGGAGCGUGUGUCUUUCCAUGGGACCCAUUUGGCUAGUGGCCAAGUGAGAGAGGCAUUGGAAGUCCAUGGAGGAGUGGGUCUAGGGACUGCUCCAUUCCGACAGUGGCCUGCAGGAUUCCGUGUGUGCGUGGGUCUGUGAGGGAGGCAGGCACGGCUCCCAGAACAGGGCAGCCGGGGAUCUGCCUCUCCCAUUAGCUCUGUGACCUUGAGCAAGCAACGGGCUAUUUUCAGAGCUACCGUUUUUUUCGAGUGUAAAGCUAAAAGAGUCAUUUCUUCCCCCGUACAGCCUCCUGAGACACCCGGGGAGAGGAGAGGAUAUAAGGGCGGUUCCUAGGAGGCUGAGAGAGGCAAUGGAAAGGAAGAACCAUUAGCAGGGGGAUUAUUUUUUUCAGCCAGAGAUGAGAAGGCAAGCGAGUGAAGGAGAAUGUACACUUCAGAGUGGCAGUCACCCAAGGGGGUGGGCAGGUACAGGCUCCUGGAAUUCCCUUUGUAAAUGAUCUUAGCAGUGUGUGGGUCCAGACCAAGGUCAGUUGUGGCUAGACAGGGACAGCAACCACAACAUGGGUAAUUAAGUGUAUGAAACAGGGAGGUCCCGGGAUCUAAAGAGACCUAGGGCAACUCUUCUCUCAGCAAGCGCCCCACAUUCCUUCUGUGGGCUAGCUGCCCCUAGCUAAAGGAGAACGAACACUGAACCCCACUCUCACUACAUCACCCCACCCAACUGAGCAGAUUUUUUUACCAGAAAGCUAGGAUCGACGUGGACAUUUAGUAAGUAAAUAAAUCCCUGUUGGAACCCACUCCCAUCCAUUAUCCCCACACCCGGGCCAAUGGGAUUCCUAAAGCUAGCCAUUCCCUCCUCUAACUCCCUCUUUUCCUUUUCUUUCUUCUAAUUAUAUUAUAGUUCAGACUGGAAACUGGUGGAGAUGGGUGCCUUAGUUUUUUUUGCUUGCCUCAGGCCGAAAGGAAUAUAGAACAAAGUCCUGUGAGCUACCACAGCUCCAAGACAGGGUAGAGCCUAUCUAUGCACAGAGACUUUCUGUCUCACUUUUCCUUACAGUGCCUCACCCCCAACCCUGUCCCCAGGAAGGGCUAAGGAUGGGUCAGUGCCUCUGGGGUUCUGGGGACCAGAAUGCAGUCCCUGGAGCCAUCUGGGAAUGAUUAGCCUACAGAAUCCAGGUAGCUUCAGACACAUGCACACAAAGACACACACACACAAUGCACAUGCGUGCAUGCCCACAGACAUACAUGAACAUAAUACACAAAUUAUACAUGCAGACUCAUGCAUGCACCUGUGUAUACAUGCGCACAUAUAAACAUAAACAAGCACAUGCACAUGCCUCCGUGUGAGGCCCAAUCAUGCAAUAUCCAUGGCCCUACCUCUCAAAACAAACAGGAGACAGCAGGGUCCGCUGUUGUCCUGAUAGGAAAGCUAUGGAGUAUUAUUGUCUCCGAGCAUCACGUCGCUGUCUGUCGCCUCCCCAGCCCUGCAGCUCGGUUGGAAACCAUCUGUGCACUGUGAAUCGAAAGGCAAGUAAGAAGACCAGGAAGAGGAGGGAAAAAAAAAACUACUUCUCAUCAUUGUAUAUUUAGAAUAUAAAGGAGGAGAAAGACAAUCUAAGUACCCAGAAACCCCACCAGGCUUCUUCCAGAACCACAGCCUUCAUCCCACUGGGCCUUGGACCUGUGCCAGCCACUCCUCCCCGUGGAAGACGUCUUUGCUUUUAGAAAAUCAUCUGGAAGCUGUCAUCACCACUGUGCUGGUUGGCAGAUGUCCCCCAAAGAGAGAGUGGCAUGUACCACAUACUAUAAGCCACUGCUGAGCUCUCAUGGAGAAUGGGGAGGGGAAGUGGGGGGGGUGGUAGCGGAGAAGACGGUUGGGUCCAGGAGCAAGAUAUAGCGUGUCGCUGGGGCUGGAGGUUGGGGGCAAGGAGAUGGAAUGGGGCUACAACUCCCCAAGAGUUCAGGGAAUCACUGUCUCUCACUAGCUUUGCCGGCCCCUCAGUGUGCUGCUGGAAUGGCCCCCAGAGUAGCAGGUCUUUCUCUCUCGGUGAUCUUGGGUUUGAUUCCGUGAUAGGGGGAGACAGAGUCUCAGAAUACACUGAACCUAGAGGUAAUGCUGGGCACGGGUAGACCAAGGAUGGAUCCUGCCAGAAAGGAGACCUGGAGAGGGCUUAAUGGUAGAUACCAGAUGCCACCCUCUCUGAGCGUUCAGAGCCACAGGAAGCCCAAGUGAUCAUCGUGGUUGGGAAAGAGAAUGAGAAAGACGGAGAUUGAAACUGACAGGGUGAUGUGUGUCCAGGAUAGGAUGUUUUCCUGUGUGGUGCUCCAUCCUCUGUGGCCCCAGCUCAAACACUCAGAGUCAUUCACCCUGAUCUCCCAGUUUCUGCUUAGCCAUGGACUCGGUCGAUUGGCAAGCACUUCUGGCUAUCUCUCAGUAGCUCAGCAUGCGUCUUCCAUGGGUUUGUAUUUCGGACUCCCUUGGGAGUGUCUACAGAGGAGCCCCUGGGGAUAAGGGGACACUGGAGUGUAGGGUAAAAACCCAGUAGAGUUUUCCUGAGGGAGCUCCACCCACCUUCAUUCCUACCACAGCCAAAUGGCGCUCUGGAAACAUCUUUCCGGCUAUGUCUGAGGUGCCAGGGAAGCCAGUCUGAAGGGAAAGAUAAAAUGCUCACACGCCUGAGCCUAUGAGGACUUCCGCCAACUUACCAACAGGAAUUGGCUUUGCCCCUCGACAUUAAGGUGGAUGGGGCUAAGGACGUUCCCUCCUUGGGCUCAGUGAAGCUGGUAGUCCCGUGAGCUUAACAAGUACCCAGAGAGAACCCAUGUCUUCAUGACUGUUCUCUCAACCGCCACUCCCCAACUAGGAAAGAGAGCGAAGUAGUUUCCAGCUCUAGGGCGACCUGCCUCUCCCACCGGUUGUAACAUUGUCUCUCCUAAAGAGAGGGACAGGACUUAGCACGGUGUGGUGGUCCAUUGUCUACCUGCUUUGGAGAUGGAGGCAGGGGGACCACAAGGUUGAGGUUGGCUAUACAGUGAGCUCCAGGUCAACCUGGGAUACAUAAGACCCUGUCUCAAAAAGAAGAGGGGGGUGGGGCAAAGAGGAAGGGUCAGAGAAGGAGGAAGAAGAGGGGAGGGAGGGGACAGAAGGAAAAGGAGGAGGUCCCUGUGACAUUUACAACACCAUUUUGUGAUGUCAAGGUUCACAGGUGACCACUACUGGCCAGUGAGCAGGCACUCUGGUUAAAAUGCCACUCACUCCCUGAGUGACGUUUCUUCUGACUUAAGACUGACCUGGUGACAUUAGACUUAGCCACAUCCUUAGGACAGAAGGAUCCCUGGAGUUCGGGCCAAGGAACUGGGGGCUACUGACUUCUACUCGUCCUCUUGGGGUCUUUCUCUCGUCACCCUGAACCCAAGGCAGAUCCUAAAAGCAGAUGGGAGGACCCUCAACUUAGCCCAGGCUAAUCUUAGGGGAGAAAGAAAGGGAGGAGCUGGCUGCAGGCUGGCUUUCUGAGUUCUGUUGAAAUGGGAGUCUCUGGGAAACAGAUUCUCCUUACCCAAGGUGAUUUGCCUUCAGGAUGGGGAGGUUGGGGUUGUGUGGUAAAGGUGUGCCCUCCCUUUCCAUAGGUUGAUAGACACCUUUAAGGAUAUCCGGGAAAAACUCACCCUCCUAUUGGGAGCCUGGAAGAGGGACAAGCGGGUAAAACAAAACUGUUGUCGUGGGGUUCACCUUCCCUUAGGAGACCCCAUAAAACUAUUCUCAGGAGCCUGGCCCUUCUGGUGAGCCCCUUUCCUGGGACUAAACACCUUUGCUCAGAAAGAUUGCUAGGUGGAAUAACUGAUGGAAACCUCCAAGACCCAAUGAGCCCUGGGGGGCUGAAGCGAGCCUGAGGCUCCAACUGGCAGAGCAGAGAGCCUGCUUCUUAGGAGGAGCCUCCAUAGUGAGAGCUUCCUUUAUUUUUAUUUUUAAAUUAACCCUGCAAAGCACCUUUAGCUAAGAGGAUGGGACAUCUUGAGUUAAGACCAGGAAAUUGACCACAGGGCAUUCUAGGUGCUGGUGGAAGGAAUUUGUCCCAGGCACCACCUCUAAGGAGACAUUUUUUUGGGAAACCAAGAAUGAGGGCUGAUUGCUUCCUCUUGGGAUGGUUGUCUCUGGAGAGGGAUGUCUCUUGAGAGAGAGGCAAGCUCCCAUCCACCCCAGGCCUUUUCCAGGUAGUUUAGUCUCUGGUCUUCAUACUCCCCAGAGGUGGGAGGUCCCUCUGGGUUACAGUCACCAGGUGCCUCAAGAAUUGACUGGUAGGUGUGUGGGUGGGGUAGGGGGCGGACAGAACAGAGGCAGACAGGCUAUCACGCUCCCUCAUCAAAUACAAAAGGGACAGAAAGUUAAAAUGUCCCUUUCAGGGGACAUUUUAAGCAUACAUUCAAGCAUACAUUUGCAGAGGCGGUUAGGGAACACGUUGCUGGGAGGUCUGACUGCUGAGCUCACACAAGCAAACAGCCCAAAGGCCGCACUUAUUCAGAUAUUUAUUGCUUACCUACAAAUCUGCUACUCUGCCUCUUUUCCCCUUGCCGCCCCAUGUUGCUACAGCCAUCCAGCCCAGCGCCUGCCCGGGCUUACCUGGCUCUCCCUUCCCAAAGGAAAUUGUGGCUGGAAAA
rnacentral:sRNA from 1 species